rnacentral:rRNA from 1 species
GAUUUCUGGUUUGGUGCACGGAGCCCGCCGCCGUUAGGCGGUGAGUGCUUACGCGCGCCUACCAUCCUUCUGGAAAGCGCGUUCUACCCUUAACUGGGCCGGAGCGCGCGAUCCGGAUCGUUUACUUUGAAAAAAUUAGAGUGUUUAAAGCAGGCGUUUGCUAUGAAUACAUUAGCAUGGAAUAAUAAGAUAGGACUUCGGUUCUAUUUUGUUGGUUUCUAGGACUGAAGUAAUGAUUGAUAGGGACAGUUGGGGGUGCUAGUAUUUAACGGCCAGAGGUGAAAUUCUUGGAUUCGUUAAAGACUAACUUAUGCGAAAGCAUU